GUAGGUGGCAAGCGUUGUCCGGAAUUAUUGGGCGUAAAGCGCGCGCAGGCGGUCCUUUAAGUCUGAUGUGAAAGCCCGCGGCUCAACCGUGGAGGGUCAUUGGAAACUGGGGGACUUGAGUACAGAAGAGGAAAGCGGAAUUCCAAGUGUAGCGGUGAAAUGCGUAGAGACUUGGAGGAACACCAGUGGCGAAGGCGGCUUUCUGGUCUGUAACUGACGCUGAGGCGCGAAGGCGUGGGGAGCAAACAGGAUUAGAUACCCUGGUAGUCCACGCCGUAAACGAUGAGUGCUAAGUGUUAGGGGGUUUCCCGCCCCCUUAGUGCUGCAGCUAACGCAUUAAGCACUCCGCCUGGGGAGUACGGCCGCAAGGCUG
rnacentral:rRNA from 1 species